UACGUAGGGGGCAAGCGUUGUCCGGAAUCAUUGGGCGUAAAGAGCGCGUAGGCGGUCCGGUAAGUCGGUUGUGAAAACUGGGGGCUCAACCCUCAGAGGCCGACCGAUACUGCCGGGCUAGAGUCCGGAAGAGGCGAGUGGAAUUCCUGGUGUAGCGGUGAAAUGCGCAGAUAUCAGGAGGAACACCAAUGGCGAAGGCAGCUCGCUGGGACGGUACUGACGCUGAGGCACGAAAGCCAGGGGAGCAAACGGG
rnacentral:rRNA from 1 species